AAUUAUUAUAAAAAAUAAUUAAAUGACAUUGGAAAAAUGAAAAAAUAUUAAACAUUAGAACAUUCUUAAACCCAAAAGUUCAAUAUAGCCAACCCAUGGAGGGUUGGACGAUUCUUACACCAAAAGUAAUUAAAAUAUGCUUAAUGAUAUAUUUUAAGUUAAAAAACAAAAAAGGCAAAGUAUUGGCACAAGUGACAACAUACUUUAAUAAACAAAGAUGAGAUAAGUUUCCACAAAUUUCAAAGCCACAUUAUUUGCAUUUUGUGGAGAAGAAUAAGAUUAUACCCGUAAAGUGCUCUCUCUCUCCCUCUAAGUACACUGCUCUCCCUCUCGUUUCUCUCUCAUACCCAUACUAAGUACACUGCUCUCCCUCUCUCCAAACCUUCUUCACACUCAGGUCUGCUUCUUCUUUUUUUCCUUUCCAGCUUUUCACACUCAGAUCUGCUUUCUUUCUUUUUUGUGCAGCUCGUGAAGGUUUAUAGUCCAUUUUCGCUGAACUGCAGGGUUAAAGGAAGAAGAAACUUAGAACCUUGGUAUCUUGGAACCUUCGUAUGAAGGCUGCUCUUGGAGCUGCAAGGGGGCUUGCUUUUCUUCGGCGCUUACGGAUAAACGGAAACGGAUAUUAUCUUUAUUCAUAUAUUAUUCCGAAUAUCGGAUACAAAUAAUAUUUUUAAAAUGUAUUGGAUACCGGAUACGAAUACAAAUAGCGAAAUAAUUUUUCGGAUACACUGGUAUUAAUUCGGAUUCGUAUAUAUCCGUU
rnacentral:lncRNA from 1 species